rnacentral:misc_RNA from 1 species
UUUCCGUAGGUGAACCUGCGGAAGGAUCAUUAAUAAAUUUUUUUUUGAAAUAAAAAAAAAAUAAUAAUCAUCCUACCCUUUGUGAAUUUGUUUGUUUGAAUAAUUUUUUAAAAUUAUCUAUUGUCUAUCCAAGUUGGAAAGUUGUAAAAAGCUGAAGACUUGGAGCGGCAUAAAUAAUUUUAAAGACUUUUUUUCUAAAAUUAAACUUUUGUAUUCAUUUGUCUAAAAUAAUUUUUAUAAUAUAUAAAAACAACUUUUGACAAUGGAUCUCUUGGUUCUCGCAACGAUGAAGAACGCAGCAAAAUGCGAUAAGUAAUGUGAAUUGCAGAAUACGUGAAUCAUCGAAUCUUCGAACGCAUAUUGCACUUUUUUAGUUUACUAAAAAAGUAUGUCUGUUUGAGUAUCAGUAAAAUAUUCUCAUAAAAUUUUUAAUUUUAUGGUUAUGAGUGUUUUACAACGAUAAACAAGUUGUUUCACUUUAAAUUGAAUUUUUUGAAGAAAUUCUUUAAUUCAAAUUAAAUUUGGAUAAAAUUUUCCCGUAAAAAGGAAUAACUAUACAAGUUUAAUAAGAAUUUGUGAUUUCUUUUAUGAAAAGGAAAUUUAUUAAAUAACUUGAUCUCAAAUCAGAUAAGAGUACCCGCUGAACUUAAGCAUAUCAAUAAGCGGAGGAAAAGAAACUAACAAGGAUUCCCCUAGUAACGGCGAGUGAAGCGGGAAGAGCUCAAAUUUGAAAUCUUAAAGGGUUUCCCUUUACGAAUUGUAGUUUAAAGAGUGUUUUCUGUUGAGGUUUUGGUAAAAGUUCUUUGGAAUAGGACAUCAUAGAGGGUGAGAAUCCCGUAUUUGACCUUUACUUUCAACUUUGUGAUACACUUUCAAAGAGUCGGAUUGUUUGGGAAUGCAGUCCAAAAUGGGUGGUAAAUUUCAUCUAAAGCUAAAUAUUGGCGAGAGACCGAUAGCGAACAAGUACCGUGAGGGAAAGAUGAAAAGAACUUUGAAAAGAGAGUUAAACAGUACGUGAAAUUGUCAAAAGGGAAGCGUUUGACACCAGUGUUGUUUUUCUGAAAAUCAAUUAAAGAACUGUUUAUGCUAAGUUGUUUAGACUUUAUCAGCUAUCUGUUUAGUUUUGAGCUUUCUUUAAUGCACCUUUCAGUUAACAAGUCAACAUCAAUUUCUUUUGCUGUAAAAAAGCUUGAGGAAGGUGGCUUGAGAUUCGUCUUAAGUGUUUAUAGCCUCUUGCCUAUGCAGUCGGAGAGAUUGAGGUCUGCAGCGUAGAUCCUUCGGGGCUAAAUGCAUUUGUGCUAAGUUAUAGCAUUUUAUAGACAACUUGUUGACUAUGAUUUGUCUUGUAGCUUACUCGCUUAUGUUAUUU